GAUGAACGCUGGCGGCGUGCCUAAUACAUGCAAGUCGAGCGAACGGACGAUAAGCUUGCUUCUCUGAUGUUAGCGGCGGACGGGUGAGUAACACGUGGAUAACCUACCUAUAAGACUGGGAUAACUUCGGGAAACCGGAGCUAAUACCGGAUAAUAUUUUGAACCGCAUGGUUCAAAAGUGAAAGACGGUCUUGCUGUCACUUAUAGAUGGAUCCGCGCUGCAUUAGCUAGUUGGUAAGGUAACGGCUUACCAAGGCAACGAUGCAUAGCCGACCUGAGAGGGUGAUCGGCCACACUGGAACUGAGACACGGUCCAGACUCCUACGGGAGGCAGCAGUAGGGAAUAUUCCGCAAUGGGCGAAAGCCUGACGGAGCAACGCCGCGUGAGUGAUGAAGGUCUUCGGAUCGUAAAACUCUGUUAUUAGGGAAGAACAUAUGUGUAAGUAACUGUGCACAUCUUGACGGUACCUAAUCAGAAAGCCACGGCUAACUACGUG
rnacentral:rRNA from 1 species